CCUUACACACCAAACUGGCUUCCCUUCUCCCAGAGAGAAAGAAGCAUACUUCACCAUCCCCCACCACCUGCAUGAGGUGAAUAAUAGUUGAGACCUGGGAGGACAGAAUGCAGUGUAUCCACCCCAAAGUCUCAAACCUCUUCUUCCUUUCCCUCAUCUUCCCACAGAUUAGCAAAGGCAGAUUGCAGACUUCCUCUCACCAAACUCAUGUAGAAAAGAAAAGCAGCAUCCGUCCAUCUCAGCCUCACUGGAACUGUCUUCUCCUCUGAAGCAUACAUCUCAUCAAACAUUCCUGUCACUUGCAUUCCUCACCAUACUCCCCUCUUCUUACCCUCUCAUUAAGCUUCUUUGAUUUCCUCCCUCCCUCCCUCCCUCCUGAUUAGCACAACUGGUCCGAUGCGUGAUGGAUUUGAGUGAGAGUUUCUUUAAGGAAGUCAGCAGCCUGUGCAGUGGUUUCCAAGGAACAACUGAGAGGAAACUAAACAUCUGAGCCUAUUGAGUUCUGUCAACCCGGAAAAAUCUGUCUCAGACCACCGAGUUGUCUGCAAUCCAAGUGAAGGCCAUCACACCAUCAUAUCUCAUGAGAAGUGCCAUAACUUGCGACCUCAUCGUGCUUGUUGCGUUAACCUAAACGCACCAUGAACCACUUGAGCUCAGAGUCAAGAACACGAAAGGAUGAGAUUUAUAGUAAACCGAAUCGAGCCGGUUCGACGGAAGGCAGAGGGAGGAGGACGAAGAGGCUGGUGAGCGCUUCGGACGCAGACGGCAGAAGGCACCCACCUCGAGAGCCAGAGCACAGAGGCUCCCCUACAAAUUACUUCAGCACGGAGUCGUUUGUCGUGAUGAUCUGCUUGACCGUGUCUCUGCUGAUACUGCCUCUCAUACUGCCGCCACUGCCGCCGCCACCUUCGAUGCUGCUUCUGCUUCCUAUAGGCCUACUUGUUGUGCUGAUGAUCCUAGCUUUCAUGCCCUCAGACAUAAGAAACAUUACUUCCUCUUCCUUGUAGAAAUGUUGGGAUUUGAGCUACGUCUUUUUCACUCUACUGAUAGUUCUACAGAGGUGAUUACUAGUUUAUGAUAGAUUGGAACCGAAAUGUGGUCACUCUGCUGUACAUGAGGUAUUUGUAUCAUAUCACAUCCACGGAAACUAAUCCAAGAAAGGCAAAGAAGGAUUUCUUAGUUAUGGUUACAGAGACGAUGAACAUUUCUUUCUGCUUGACAAGCGUUACCGUAAUCCAAAUAUGCAAGAGAUCGAUGAUGAAGCCAUAUUGUUGGUCACAAGACAUUCGAUUUGGAAAUGGUAUCGGAGGCUCUAUUUGUAGUGGGUGGACCAAACCAUAUGCAAUUGAGGGGACUCUGUCUCGGUAUUGUCUUGUUCAUGGCAGAGGGGGGUAGUCUUUAGUCUUCUCCUGCUGCAUGUACUGAGAAAUCUGCGUUCUGGACACCACCGAACAGGAACUACUGUAAGGGGUUGCUGAAGGCAUACUGAAGAGGGGCUGAUGACGAUGAUGAUGAUGUUGGGAUGUUGCAUGAUCCAUGUAAACAUGCAAACGAGCGCUACGUUAGAAGUAGAAUGUCAACUUUCAUGAGAAAGUGACUCAAAGCUGGUCAACGCAGACAACAAUAAUCAUUGCAUCUUUGUUGU